UGUAAGCAAAGCUGGACAUGAUUGCUGGUA
rnacentral:piRNA from 1 species